rnacentral:rRNA from 1 species
GGGGAAUAUUGGACAAUGGGCGCAAGCCUGAUCCAGCCAUGCCGCGUGAGUGAUGAAGGCCUUAGGGUUGUAAAGCUCUUUCACCGAUGAAGAUAAUGACGGUAGUCGGAGAAGAAGCCCCGGCUAACUUCGUGCCAGCAGCCGCGGUAAUACGAAGGGGGCUAGCGUUGUUCGGAUUUACUGGGCGUAAAGCGCACGUAGGCGGUUUGUUAAGUGAGAGGUGAAAUCCCAGAGCUCAACUCUGGAACUGCCUUUCAUACUGGCAAGCUAGAGUCCGGAAGAGGUAAGUGGAACUCCUAGUGUAGAGGUGGAAUUCGUAGAUAUUAGGAAGAACACCAGUGGCGAAGGCGGCUUACUGGUCCGGAACUGACGCUGAGGUGCGAAAGCGUGGGGAGCAAAC